rnacentral:rRNA from 1 species
GACGAACGCUGGCGGCGUGCUUAACACAUGCAAGUCGAACGGAAAGGCCCUGCUUUUGUGGGGUGCUCGAGUGGCGAACGGGUGAGUAACACGUGAGUAACCUGCCCUUGACUUUGGGAUAACUUCAGGAAACUGGGGCUAAUACCGGAUAGGAGCUCCUGCUGCAUGGUGGGGGUUGGAAAGUUUCGGCGGUUGGGGAUGGACUCGCGGCUUAUCAGCUUGUUGGUAGGGCAGUGGCUUACCAAGGCUUUGACGGGUAGCCGGCCUGAGAGGGUGACCGGCCACAUUGGGACUGAGAUACGGCCCAGACUCCUACGGGAGGCAGCAGUGGGGAAUAUUGCACAAUGGGCGGAAGCCUGAUGCAGCAACGCCGCGUGCGGGAUGACGGCCUUCGGGUUGUAAACCGCUUUCGCCUGUGACGAAGCGUGAGUGACGGUAAUGGGUAAAGAAGCACCGGCUAACUACGUG